rnacentral:rRNA from 1 species
UACGGGGGGGGCAAGCGUUGUUCGGAAUUACUGGGCGUAAAGGGCUCGUAGGCGGCCAACUAAGUCAGACGUGAAAUCCCUCGGCUUAACCGGGGAACUGCGUCUGAUACUGGAUGGCUUGAGUUUGGGAGAGGGAUGCGGAAUUCCAGGUGUAGCGGUGAAAUGCGUAGAUAUCGGGAGGAACACCGGUGGCGAAGGCGGCAUCCUGGACCGGUAUUGACGCUGAGGAGCGAAAGCCAGGGGAGCAAACGGG